AAAAAACUAGAUUGCGACACUAGAGGCACAGGCUAAAGGGCUCACUCGGCAGGUUGAUCGCCUCACUGCGGAGGUUUAUAACCUCACGGUGAAAGUAGCUGACCUGGAGAAGCUCUGCUUCGAAUAACCACCAAAGGUCACGGGUUGGAAGGUUGCGGGGUGUUUCAGGUGAAGGAUUUUGUUUGUUUCUAUAUGUUAUUUGCGGAUACUUUAAGCCACGGGUAGUAGGACUUUAUGUCAAUUUUUAAUCCCGGAUGUAAACAGAUGUACGAUGUAUAGGACUUGAUGUCUUUUGCUAUUGAUUCACAGAUGUAAAAUAUGUUGAUUCACGGAUGUAAAACAAUGUAUCUCUCUAUAUAAACUAUGUCUUUCAGUUUGGUUAUAAAAUGUGCAUCACUUCUCUACUC